UAGCUGAACCAGUUUCUUGGAUGCUC
rnacentral:piRNA from 1 species